rnacentral:tRNA from 1 species
GGUAGGGUGGCCGAGAGUUAGGCGGUGGGUUGUAGCCCCAUGAACAAAGGUUUAAGUCCUUUUUCUACCA